ensembl:rRNA 5S_rRNA 5S ribosomal RNA
UUUUGUGGCCUUACCUGAUUGUUGAAGCCUGAUCUCAUCAGAUCUCAGAAGUUAAGCAAGGCUGGGCCUGGUUAGAACUUGGAUGGGACACCACUGGGAAUAUCAGGUGCCACAGAGG